rnacentral:rRNA from 1 species
UUGCGCAAUGGGCGAAAGCCUGACGCAGCAACGCCGCGUGACCGAUGAAGCUUCUAGGAGUGUAAAGGUCUGUCGUGAGGGAAGAAAAAUCCGGAUGUAAAUAAUGUUCGGACGUGACGGUACCUCACAAGAAAGCACCGGCUAACUUAGUGCCAGCAGCCGCGGUAAUACUAGGGGUGCUAGCGUUGUCCGGAAUCACUGGGCGUAAAGGGUCCGUAGGCGUUUUGCUAAGUUGAUUGUUAAAUCCAUCGGCUCAACCGAUGAUCUGCAAUCAAAACUGGUAGAAUAGAGUUCGAGAGAGGAAAGUGGAAUUCCUGGUGUAGCGGUGACAUGCGUAGAUAUCAGGAGGAACACCAAUGGCGAAGGCAGCUUUCUGGCUCGAUACUGACGCUGAGGGACGAAAGCGUGGGGAGCGAACAGGAUUAGAUACCCUGGUAGUCCACGCCGUAAACGAUGAGUACUUGAUGAUGGAGGAUUCGACCCCUUCGUUGUCGUAGCUAACGCGAUAAGUACUCCGCCUGGGGACUACGACCGCAAGGUUG